AACCAACAGGAUUGCCUCAGUAACGGCGAGUGAAGCGGCAAAAGCUCAAAUUUGAAAUCCCCCCGGGGAAUUGUAAUUUGAAGAUUGUGUUUUGGAAACGACCGUGUCUAUGUUCCUUGGAACAGGACGUCACAGAGGGUGAGAAUCCCGUGCGGCACGGCCACCGUUUCCUUAUAAAACACUCUCGACGAGUCGAGUUGUUUGGGAAUGCAGCUCAAAGUGGGUGGUAAAUUCCAUCUAAAGCUAAAUACAGGCGAGAGACCGAUAGCGAACAAGUACAGUGAUGGAAAGAUGAAAAGCACUUUGAAAAGAGAGUGAAACAGUACGUGAAAUUGUUGAAAGGGAAGGGCAUGCCGUCAGAUUGUCAGUGUGGGUAAAGAAGCGGGGUACAAAGACUGUGGAAACGUGGCCCUCGGGUGUUAUAGCCACAGUUCAUCCCCCGUCUCUUUCCGAGGCCUGCUUUGAGGACACCGACGUAAUGACGGUACGCCGCCCGUCUUGAAACACGGA
rnacentral:rRNA from 1 species